UUAUAGGUCAUUAUUAUAGUAUUAUAGGUCAUGAAUGUGUAGGGGACUUCUGAGAAUGCUUUAGAUUGUGAUUGGACCAUAGGUAUCAGAGACAGCAUCCCGAGUGGACUUUCCUAUUGUAGGGCUGUACCCACGGGUGCCAUAGCAACGAGAAGCCCCAGGAGCCUUCGCAGCCGACAGUGACGUCAGAUAAGAACGGCAUGAAACACAACAGAGGGGAGAUCAUUUACCAGGGGCCCAAAUCAGCUGAGGCACAGCAGCAGGAGAAACCCAGUUCAGAUGAACACCAUCAACAAGGCAGAACUAAAGCAGAAAAGGUAGCAGAUGUAACCGACAGUGUGGUCAACAUGGUUCCCUCUAAUGUGGAAGUGUCACUCCGUAAGAGGUUCCAUAGAUGAGGCCAACAACUGCAGUCAGUACGACAGAGACAUUGAUGACAUCAGUGUCUCGGAUGAGGAGUGAGAGAAACCGAUUGUCCAGAAUCUUCGAGAAGCGUAAGAGACACCCGUGUUUGAUUGAUUGUCUGACCCCGACGGCUAAGGUCAAGAGGAUGGUCUCACUAGCUGUGAGAGUGAUUGUUCUAUUUUAUUGUCCAUUUUCCGUACAGUCCUAGGAACGGUAACGACUGUUACUGCUUUUUAAUUUAUAUAGAAAUGGUAUUGAUCUCUACUGUAUGCACAGAUAAAAAAUAUCAAUCUGUUAUAGAGGAGUUUUCCUCUCUACCCUCUGGCACAGUGUCCAUAUUAGGACAUAGGCAUCAGACAAAUCUGGGUCAGAAUCAAUGUCCUAAUAUGGACACCAUACUAAGACUUUGUUGUAAUGAAAUAAGGCCUACUGUAUUGAAUAUUCAGCUACAUACUUUCUGUUUGAGUGUACAGUGUGUGACAUGGCGUUAAAUGUGCUGUAAUAUUCAUUAAAACCAAAGGAGGAACUCCAUCUAUCAAACUUGCAUUAUGUGUCGCACUUGACACACACACACUUUGUAUCAGCCUGUUUCUCUCUCUGGGCCACACAUGAUUAGAUAGCACAUAGACAGGCUAAGACCAAAGUUCAACCCUGGGACAUCGUAAAUGACCUUUGAAAGUCACGUGCAGAGUUCUAGUCGACGACAACGCGCCUUUUGAUCGAAUCACAGACUAAAGUCACUGAUAAAAAAUAAUCAUAUGCCUGUAAAACAAGUAAAAUCAUCGCUUCUAGGCACGAUCAUUAUCUUAUUGGCAAAGUAAACAUUUCUGUCGAGUAACCUGUCAAAAUAAUGGUUUGGCUCGAAGCUGAAAAAAACGUAUAUUUGGAAUACUCAAUCAAGUCCAAUACAUGAUGACAUCAAAGAUUCACAAUUCAAUUCACAAUCACAUCCCUUCUUAUCAAUUUAUACCAUUAAAUAGUAUAAUAUACAACAUCUUGACACUUAGGACUACGGAAUCAUGUUAGGUCCAAAGGCUAACCUCCCAGCCCGGUUACAGCGAUCAACCAGCACAACCAAUUAACAGCACAAUAUUAUUCAACAUCUUUGAACAAACAACGUGCAACAUCAAGUCCAGCUUUGAGCAUUGCCCUUCUGUCUGUAAGGGGGGCGUUCACAAGACAAAGUGAGUUCACAAAAACGUAUCGUCAAAUACACGCAACCGUGGCAUGUGACAUACAUGUAGUCCGACAAGACGUUUUCAAAUCCUAAAUGACUUGAUAUGUUGUUGCAUUGUUCUCCGUUCCUCUCAGUACCUUGGCGAUUGACAGCUAUAUAUUUCAUGUCACGUGAAGACUUCAACACUGUUCAGUACCGAUAUCCUAGUACCACGCAACAGACACACAAACAGUUGCUAAGGAACGGUUGGCAUACCAUUGGAGUAACCUUGCAGUAGCAUGUUUGAGAAUACGUUCUUCCGUGAGAUUAGGAUGUGUUGACUGAGAACAUCAGGGUUGCAAAAUUCCUGUGACUUUCCUUGUUGGAGGAUUCCUGGAUUUCCCGCUGAUUCCCUUCGGGUUAAAACAUCUUCCAAUCAGGAUUUCUAUAAAGCAUGGGAAUUUGGGGAGUUACCGGAAUUUUGCAACCCUGCAAAACAUGUACAGUACCAGUCAAACGUUUGGACACACCUACUCAUUCAAGGGUUUUUCUUUACUUUUACUAUUGUAUACAUUG